rnacentral:rRNA from 1 species
UACGUAGGGCGCAAGCGUUGUCCGGAAUUAUUGGGCGUAAAGAGCUCGUAGGCGGCUUGUCACGUCGGGUGUGAAAGCCCGGGGCUUAACCCCGGGUCUGCAUUCGAUACGGGCUAGCUAGAGUGUGGUAGGGGAGAUCGGAAUUCCUGGUGUAGCGGUGAAAUGCGCAGAUAUCAGGAGGAACACCGGUGGCGAAGGCGGAUCUCUGGGCCAUUACUGACGCUGAGGAGCGAAAGCGUGGGGAGCGAACGGG